CUUUACUGAAAAUAGCAGACCAGUUUGUGAGCUGGCACAAUUUCAACAUAGCAGAUGGACAUGCAACGAAAUAACUAGCAAAGAGACCUUGUUUCAACAUCAAAUAUGUUUCCGUAAGGCCAGAUUCUUGGGCAAAGUUGUUUUAGCGAUCUGGUUGCAACUAAGGUAUCCUGUAAGAACAAAUUGCUGCCUCCUCCAGGUGGAAAGGGAUCAAAUAUAAUUAAUCUGUGUGUGCCACACAGUAGCUUGAUAGUUUAAUUGAGGAAUGUUGACAUAUUGAGAGCUCAGCAUUACUUUCUGCUAUCAGCAGUGACGGCAUAAGAGCUGUAUCCUAACUGCACUGCUGAAUUUGGGCUUCCUGUGGGGGCACGGCAAGUGCCCUCUUUGAGAGUGAGGAGGCUGAGAGUCUCACACCAACAGGAAUGAGUGCUUUGAAAUUAACUGGUGUUUGGAAAUUGAUCUGGUAGGUAAUAAUCUUCUAUAUCUAACUUGUGAUUUAUUCUAAUUUUAAAUGUUUAACACAUACCUUCUGAAGCACAGAUGACUUCUGUAGUUGUGCAAUGCUAG
rnacentral:lncRNA from 10 species